rfam:Triticum aestivum genome assembly, contig: Triticum_aestivum_CS42_TGACv1_scaffold_435960_5DL
CAUCUACACCCUCCGUUCCACAAUACUUGCAUUCCCUUUAUCAAAAUAUAGAUGUAUUUAGACAUGUUUUAGUAUAUAGGUACAUCCAUUUUUGGAUAAAUGGAAGUCAAGUAUUUUGGAACGGAGAGAGUAGCUG